rnacentral:rRNA from 1 species
CCCUUAGAUGUUCUGGGCCGCACACGCGCUACACUGAAGGAGGCAGCGUGUACUCCUGGAUCGAAAGAUUUGGGUAACCGGCGAAUCUCCUUCGUGCUAGGGAUUGAGGUUUGCAAUUAUCCUUCAUGAACGAGGAAUUCCCAGUAAGUGCAAGUCAUAAGCUUGCGCUGACUACGUCCCUGCCCUUUGUACACACCGCCCGUCGCUACUACCGAUUGAAUGAUUUAGUGAGGACUUCGGACUGGGACCGAUGCGGCUUUCGGGCUGCGUCGGUAUUCUGGAAAGAUGUCCAAACUGUAUCAUUUAGAGGAAGUAAAAGUCGUAACA